rnacentral:rRNA from 1 species
GCUUGGGAAUUUGCCUUUAGGUGGGGACGAACAGUUGGAACGACUGCUAAUACCGCAUAAUAGCUACGGCUUAAAGGGGGCGUUCGGCUCUCGCCUUUAGAGAAGCCCAAGUGGGAUUAGGUAGUUGGUGAGGUAAAGGCUCACCAAGCCGACGAUCCCUAGCUGGUCUGAGAGGAUGAUCAGCCACACUGGGACUGAGACACGGCCCAGACUCCUACGGGAGGCAGCAGUGGGGAAUAUUGGACAAUGGGCGCAAGCCUGAUCCAGCCAUGCCGCGUGUGUGAAGAAGGCUUUCGGGUU